UCUGCAUUUAAAAACAGGUCCCAAAACUUCGGAUGAUCAGCAGCAUAGUAGGCCUGAAAACGUUGAUGGUCAUGAAGCACCUGUGACGGGGCGGGCCCAGAGAAUCGAUUUAUCGGCGUUACCACAGCUUAACUACCUUAGAACAUUGAAAGGCUAGAAUUAGUAAACAACAACUUUGUUUGAGUCCAACAUGUGCACAGGGGCAAGAGGGGUGUUUUAUUUACAAACAUAUGUGUCGAUUCUCUGUUGUCAAGUCGACACAAAUUUCCAACGGAGGAAAUUUUUAGCUAUAUUUUAACAAACAUUAUAACGUUAAUUUAACUUAUUUCUGUUAUAUUUUAUAGGAAAAUUUAAAAUAAAAAGUAUAAAUACUACAAUUAACCUAUUUUAAGAAUAAAUAUAAUAUCCUUAAGCAAAAAAAAAACAAAAUUAUUAACAUUCUUAUCCCUAAAACUGCUUCUAAAAAAUUUGAAGCGACAACACCGGAGCUUAAGCGCCUAAACCAUACGCGUUGUGUCAUCUGUCAAACGGCUUUUUGUUUAUAUUCGGGAUUCGUGUAUUUUCUUUAAUUUUUGGUUUAAAAAGGAAAAAAGGCCACGUUUUAGUGUUUUUUUAAAUUGCUAGGAUGGCAAAAACUUGUGUCGUUUGUGCCGCAUCAUGAUAAAAACGUGAUUCAAGCCGAUCUUUUCACAAAUUGCCCAAUGAUUAUGCCCAAAGGGAACAAUGGGUUUCAUUAAUGGAAAUCAACACAUUUAAAAAGAACAUAUUUGUUUGUUCAGAUCACAUCCUUAGAAGUGAUAUAAGGGAGAUAAUAUUAUUAGUAGCCAAACUUUAUUAAAAAAAUCAGCUCUACCUCAAAGGAUUUCUGAUGCACUGGUUAAAAACACAGCAGCCAAUAAUUCAGUUAAUUUACCAAGUGAUUUACCCUUCAAAGCUACAGGGGUAGCUUUCCUGAAGAGUGCAAAAACUUCUUUAGCUUUCAAAAUGGUAUAUAGUACAAACAGUGAAGCUAAUAUAGACACAUCUGAUCAUUCAUCAUCAACAAUAACUGCAUCUGAGAAUUAUAGUUCUACAGUAACCGUGGAGUCUAGGUCAACAAUUACUAUUUCUCAUCCAAGCCGUUUUUGUUUAACUGCUACACAUUUCCUGACUCUGCCAAGGAAAAGGGUAAAAUCAAAAUGAUAUCCUGAGGACCUAAGCACUGAUGAUUCCACCGUUUCAAGAACUUAAUCACUUGUCACCAGAUUAUGGAAAAAAAAUAAAGAACAAAAAAUUAAAAUUCGAAGAUUGCAACAAGCAAAUUUGCGCCAAAGAAAUUAAAUUAGAUGUCUCAAGUCAUUAUUAAAAUACUUACAUGAAAUAAUAACAUGAUUUUAUGGAAAAGCCCAACAUACUACAUAUUUUAUUUGACUUGUAAAAGCACUUGUUUGUAUAUUACUACUAAUAAACUCUCUAAUCUAAUCUAUUGUACAUAGUCUUUAUUCUUAGCUUUGUUUUUUAGUAUAAAUUAAUAUGAUAUAAUAUUUGGUAUUAGGUAUUAUAUAGGUCACUAUUAAAUGUCUCAAAACCAUUAUACAGGCUAAAUACUCAUAAUAAAAAUCUUAUAACCUACAAAAAACCUGCAACUCCUUCACUAUUUGAACAUCCUUGUAGUUUUAACUUUUUCCGCUGAAGCAAUACUGUCCCUUUGAAAAAGUCAGCAGCAUAGAAGUAUAUAUUAUGUGAUGUAAGUAAGUGAUGUAAAACUGAGUUUUGUCCAAUAUAACAAUAACAAUAAAAUUUUGCAAAAUGUUAAAAAUUUGUGUCUUAAAACAUGAUUUAUUAA